rnacentral:rRNA from 1 species
AGGGUUUGAUCAUGGCUCAGAGUGAACGUUGGCGGCACGCCUAACACAUGCAAGUCGAGCGAAGUAGCUUGCUACUUAGCGGCGAACGGGUGAGUAAUGCUUGGAUAAUCUGCCUUUAGGACUGGGACAACUACAGGAAACUGUAGCUAAUACCGGAUAUGACCACAUUUACCAAGGUUUAUGUGGUAAAAGAUUUAUCGCCUUUAGAUGAGUCCAAGUCGCAUCAGGUUGUUGGUAGGGUAAUGGCCUACCAAGCCUAUGACGCGUAGCAGGUCUUAGCGGAUGAUCUGCCACAUGGGGACUGAGAUACGGCCCUGACUCCUACGGGAGGCAGCAGUGAGGAAUAUUGGGCAAUGGACGAAAGUCUGACCCAGCGAUGCCGCGUGAAGGAUGAAGGCCUUAGGGUUGUAAACUUCUGUCAGCAGGGAAGAUAAUGACGGUACCUGCAGAGGAAGCCCCGGCUAACUCCGUGCCAGCCGCCGCGGUAAUUC